rnacentral:tRNA from 1 species
GGCCUGCCACCCGCAGCAGAGCGCGUGACUGGCAGUCACGAGGUCGUGGGUUCGAUCCCCAUCAGCUCACCA